rnacentral:tRNA from 1 species
GCCUUCGUGGUGUAAUGGUCAGCACGCUUGAUGCGUCACCGAGAGGUCCGUGGUUCGAUUCCCAGAGAAGGCG